rnacentral:rRNA from 1 species
CCUACGGGUGGCUGCAGUGGGGAAUAUUGGGCAAUGGGCGCAAGCCUGACCCAGCAACGCCGCGUGAAGGAAGAAGGCUUUCGGGUUGUAAACUUCUUUUCUCAGGGACGAGGAAAGUGCCGGUACCUGACGAAUAAGCCACGGCUAACUACUGCCCAGCAGCCGCGGUAAGACGUAGGGGGCAAGCGUUAUCCGGAUUUAUUGGGUGUAAAGGGCGUGUAGGCGGGAGCGCAAGUCAGAUGUGAAAACUCAGGGCACAACCCUGAGACUGCAUUUGAAACGGUGUUUCUUGAGUGCUGGAGAGGCAAACGGAAUUCCGUGUGUAGCGGUGAAAUGCGUAGAUAUAAGGAGGAACACCAGUGGCGAAGGCGGAUUGCUGGACAGUAACUGACGCUGAGGCGCGAAAGCGUGGGGAGCAAACAGGAUUAGAUACCCUUGUAGUC